AGGUAGUCAGAUCCUCCAUC
rnacentral:snRNA from 1 species